rnacentral:rRNA from 1 species
GACGUAGGGCGCGAGCGUUGUCCGGAUUUAUUGGGCGUAAAGAGCUCGUAGGCGGCUCGUUGCGUCGGCUGUGAAAACCCGCAGCUCAACUGUGGGCUUGCAGCCGAUACGGGCGGGCUGGAGUUCGGUAGGGGAGACUGGAAUUCCUGGUGUAGCGGUGAAAUUCGUAGAUAUCGGGAGGAACACCGGUGGCGAAGGCGACCAUCUGGACGGAUACUGACGCUGAGACGCGAAAGCGUGGGUAGCAAACAGG